AUUGAACGCUGGCGGCAGGCUUAACACAUGCAAGUCGAGCGAGCGGCGGACGGGUGAGUAAUGUCUGGGAAACUGCCUGAUGGAGGGGGAUAACUACUGGAAACGGUAGCUAAUACCGCAUACCAUCAGAUGUGCCCAGAUGGGAUUAGCUUGUUGGUGGGGUAAUGGCUCACCUAGGCGACGAUCCCUAGCUGGUCUGAGAGGAUGACCAGCCACACUGGAACUGAGACAAGGUCCAGACUCCUACGGGAGGCAGCAGUGGGGAAUAUUGCACAAUGGGCGCAAGCCUGAUGCAGCCAUGCCGCGUGUGUGAAGAAGGCCUUCGGGUUGUAAAGUACUUUCAGCGAGGAGGCGUUACCCGCAGAAGAAGCACCGGCUAACUCCGUGCCAGCAGCCGCGGUAAUUC
rnacentral:rRNA from 1 species